CUGCAGGCACCCGGCUUUGUAAACUGUAUUUCUUCUUACGGAUGGGACAGCUUAAGUUAACAAUUUUCCAAGAAGCUGUCUACAUUGUUUAUCAUCACCACCAUUACCGUCCUCACCAUCACCACCAUCCUUAGGAGUGAUCUCCUCCAACUCACAUGUGAACUAAGGAUACUCCAGUCCAGUCCUUUCCCGUUAGUCUGACGUGUGGAAGUGACAUCUUACAUGAGAGAAUACUGUGGGGCAAAAGGUAAGACUGUUAUUCCUCAGCAGUGACCUCCUAGGGGUCUCUGUGCUUAACCAGCAUCGCCUUGGAGAACUUCUUUUUCUAGUGUUUAUUUGAGUGUAUCUUCAGAAAUAAUAAACACUUGCAACUCAAUGCCUGCUGCUCUGGGACAAACAGAGCAGAGAAUGGCAUGAUCUUACAACUGACCUGAUCCCCUUGACACCACUAGCAUGAUCAC
ensembl:lincRNA